GGCAGGGUGGUCUAGUGGUAAGAGCCCUGGCCAGGGGGUCAGAAGGACCUAGGUUCAAAUCCCAGCUCUGCCA
rnacentral:tRNA from 1 species